GACGAACCACACAAACGUUAUUCGGAAUUACUGGGCGUAAAGGGCGCGUAGGCGGCCUGCUAAGUCGGACGUGAAAUCCCUCGGCUCAACCGAGGAACUGCGUCCGAUACUGGUGGGCUUGAAUCCGGGAGAGGGAUGUGGAAUUCCAGGUGUAGCGGUGAAAUGCGUAGAUAUCUGGAGGAACACCGGUGGCGAAGGCGGCAUCCUGGACCGGUAUUGACGCUGAGGCGCGAAAGCUAGGGGAGCAAACGGG
rnacentral:rRNA from 1 species